rnacentral:tRNA from 1 species
CGGGGUGUGGCGAAGUUGGUAUCGCGCACGGUUUGGGGCCGUGAGAUCAUCGGUUCGAGUCCGGUCUCCCCGA